UUCGGGUCCAUGUUUCGGGCGUCCGGAUGUGGGUCCGAAAGUUCACCUCGUGAGUAUCGUUUACGCUGACAGGUGGCUGGUGGUAGGUGAGGUCCGCCGGAGCCAGUUAUGGGCGCAGUGCACCGCGGGUAGAGGAGCCGAUGGGGGGCUUCUGUGCAGCCAGGAGGAUUCGGACGCCCAGAAUCAGGUUUUGGGCGCCCGAAAGUGGAGAUUU
rnacentral:lncRNA from 1 species